AAAUAUUCCCAAUAAAAAUGGCUGCAGUGUGAUUGUUUACAUGUAAAAAUGCCGGUUUUAACAGAAAUGAUUUAUUAUAAAAAAAAAAACGAGAAGGACAACAAUAGUGAUUUUCGAAAAGAACCUUCUUUGUAAUAUUCUGAAGAUUGUGAAAAAAAAAAUUAAGUCGUUUCAUCAAGUCGUUCUCGAGAUAUCCGUGCCACAUACUUUUUUUGGACUACAGACUAACUCACGUCCACGAUAAAUUUUUUUUAUUCAAGUUUUUUUUUUAUAAUAAUACGUAUCGGACAACAUAAGAAAAGUAUCAGGCUUGUUUAUUAGUACUUCCUCUUUAUAUUAAUGUGUUUUUUAUAAUGUGUAAGUGUGAUAUGAAAAUAAUAUAAACAGUUUAAUGUGAGGAAAUCGCGUGACCUUGACAAGUCCGUUAUAAAGCACAACCUCUCCGCUUCGCGUUCGAGGUGUGCGGAUAAUUAAAAAAUACAUGUUUAUUUACAAAUAGAAUGGCUGAUAAUAAGGAAACAACUCAAAAUGGAGAUAUAAACCUGGAUGAAAAAAGAGUAGAUUAUUUAGAGUGGGAUGAUUAUUUUAUGGCUAUUGUAUUCCUUUCGGCAGAACGGAGUAAGGAUCCAUGUACCCAAGUCGGUGCUUGUAUUGUUGAUCAACGAAAACGGAUCGUUGCUAUAGGUUAUAAUGGAAUGCCAAUGGGUUGUGAUGAUGAUAAAUUUCCUUGGGGAAAAGAUAAAGAAGAUAAAUUAAAAAAUAAAAGUACCUUUGUUUGUCAUGCUGAGGCAAAUGCCAUUUUAAAUAAAAAUUCAUUUGAUGUGCAAAAUUGUAUUAUGUAUGUUGGACUUUUUCCAUGUAAUGAAUGUGCUAAAUUGAUUAUACAAGCUGGUAUUAAAAAAAUAAUAUAUAUGUCUGAUAAACAUGCUUGUAAAAAAAGUACUAUAGCAGCGAAAAUGAUGUUUGAUGCUGCAUUUGUAGAAUACAGGCAAUAUAUUCCAAAGAAAAAAACAGUCGAAAUUAAUUUCAAUAAAAUAAAUUGGAAUGAAAAGAAUUAUUUACCACUAUCACCUUGAAAAAAACCACUUUUUCCUCUGGAUUUGAAGGAUUCUUAUUUCACUUCUUGUAUAAAAAGCUGUCUCUUUUAUAUUAUAUGAGUAUAUAUAAUAAACUGAUUAAUUUUCAGUAAUGAUGUUUAUAAAACGUUAAAAUAUAUUGUAAUUACGGUAAAAUGGUACAAAAAAAAAGAAAUUAAUAAACAAAGUAAUGAUAUUUACAAUAAACCUGAAAAUAUUUUAU